AUGACAGAGCUAUGCAGGGGGCCGAGAGUUUCUGGCUGUAACGUGACCCUGCAGAUGCUUCAGUCAUGCCUGCUAUUAGAGGCCUUCGCAUGGGCCUCAACCCCCUCCUCCAGGGUCUGGAUGGCCUGACCACCACUGCUGGGGGUUUGGCCGGGAAGACGUGGGAUGAUCAAACAACACUGAGUCAGCUGACUGUCUGGCUCUCUGCCUCAGUGGCUGGCUGAGCUCAGCGCCGUGGUAACGUGCAGCUUGCCAUGUCUGCUGUCGCUACGGGAACCAGCUGCAGUGAGAAACACAGCAAAGCUGGGUCAACAUAGCCUGCCGCAGAUUCAUUCAGAAAAUCUUCUGCCUGAACCAAAUUUAAUACUGAAGAUCAGAUGCCCAACUGUUGUAAGAGCCUAUCAAUGUCAGAAUCACCAGUUCCCAGACAGCCAGCUGGCAUCCCCGUCUGCCAAGAUGAUGUUAUACGGCUCCUCUUAGGAAACCUUCAAAUUAUGACCGUCUAAAAAUGGGCUUCUCCUUCAGUCAGCU